ensembl:lncRNA
UUUGAGGGCACUGAUAGAAGGAUCAAGCAAACCCCGCCCUGCCAUUUGGUGUCAAGUGAGGAGCAGACUUGUACUGAACAGGUUGCAGACAGAGGAGAUGGUGAAUUGGUUCCCCAGGAUAAAUUUGGGGUGUUUAAGGCCCCUUUAAAGGAGACACUUGAAAUUGCUACCAUCUUACUUGACUUUGGUCAACAUGUCCAACUGCAGAACACAGUCCCCCAGGCCGGACUACUGUCCCAGGAGACUCCAUUCAUUCAAGGAAGGAGCCUAGAGGAGCUCCAUAGCAUCUCCCAUUCUGGAGUCAAUGCCCAGCCAAGUACCUCCCGUGGUCAUGUUGGGGACUGUGACAGCAAAGGUCGGAGAAAGAAACAGGCCAAGCCUCACCGUGUGGUGCCCAGCAAAAAGCUGACUCAGGACUUCAAGGUCCUGAUUGUCCCACAGGCUGCGCUCUUCUGCUCUCCAGCACUUCCCUGUUGCAUCAAACAGAUUCUGGGUUCAUCCCCGACAUUCAACCAUGGUACUACCAGGAGAAAUGGCGAGCAGAAUGAUG